rnacentral:ncRNA from 1 species
UAAAAAUUUUUGUAGUUUGGAAAAUUUAUUUAAAGUUUAUUUUACAUAUAAAUUUUAGUGUUAAUAUUUCUUUAUUUAAAUAAUAAAUUAAUUUUUUUUUAGUAAUUAAUAUUAAAAUAUUUAAGAAAUUAAUAUUUAGUAAUAUUUAAAUUAAUAACUAAUUUUGUGCCAGCAGUUGCGGUUAAACAAAGAUUAAAUUAAAUUUUAUUAGUAAAUUAAUUAAUAAUAAUAAAAUAUAAUAUAAAUUUUAAAUUAUUAGGUGAAAUUUUUAAUUUAAUAAAAUAUUAUUUAAGAUUUUAUGAUUUAAUAAAUUUUUUUAAAAACUAGGAUUAGAUACCCUAUUAUUAAAAUUUUAAAUUAAAAAUACUAAAAUAGUAAUUAAUUAUUUAUUGAAACUUAAACAAUUUGGCGGUAUUUUAGUUCAUUUAGAGGAAUCUGUUUAAUAAUUGAUAAUCCACGAAUAAAUUUACUUAAUUUAUAAUUUUGUAUAUCGUUGUUAAAAAAAUAUUUUUUAAUAAAGGUAAUAUUUAAAAAUUAUUAAUAAAAUUAAAUCAGAUCAAGAUGCAGAUUAUAAUUAAGAAUAUAAUGGAUUACAAUAAAUUUAUUUAAAUGAAUAUUAAUUUGGAAAAAUUAAUUGAAAUUGGAUUUAAAUGUAAUUUUAUUUAAUUUAAUAAAAUGAUUUUAAAUUAGAAUAUGUACAUAUUGCCCGUCGCUUUCAUAUAAUUUAAAGUUGAAAUAAGUCGUAACAAAGUAGAGGUACUGGAAAGUGUUUCUAGAAAGAA